GGACAAUGGGCGCAAGCCUGAUCCAGCCAUGCCGCGUGAGUGAAGAAGGCCUUCGGGUUGUAAAGCUCUUUCGCAAGGGAAGAAAACGGCAAGGCUAAUAUCUUUGUCGGAUGACGGUACCUUGACAAGAAGCACCGGCUAACUACGUGCCAGCAGCCGCGGUAAUACGUAGGGUGCGAGCGUUAAUCGGAAUUACUGGGCGUAAAGCGUGCGCAGGCGGUUUUGUAAGACAGAUGUGAAAUCCCCGGGCUUAACCUGGGAACUGCGUUUGUGACUGCAAGGCUAGAGUACGGCAGAGGGGGGUGGAAUUCCACGUGUAGCAGUGAAAUGCGUAGAUAUGUGGAGGAACACCGAUGGCGAAGGCAGCCCCCUGGGCCUGUACUGACGCUCAUGCACGAAAGCGUGGGGAGCAAACAGGAUUAGAUACCCUGGUAGUCCACGCCCUAAACGAUGUCAACUAGUUGUUCGGAGAGGUAACUUUCUGAGUAACGCAGCUAACGCGUGAAGUUGACCGCCUGGG
rnacentral:rRNA from 1 species